rnacentral:sRNA from 1 species
UUUGCGUUUAAAUUGAAUACUGAUAUUUAUUGUUAAGAAGAUAUCAUGGUUCCUUUUCGAAUUAAUUCACACACAUUCAUACACAAAAUAGAGAACAUGAAGCUCUGAAUCCAUGUGAAGUUAAAUUAGCAUAUCCAAAGAAGAUUGAAAUGCGUGACGUCGUAAGUUUAAGCUACAUUUUUGUAAACUAAGAGUAAACUUGCAGAAAAAUAUUACUUAUAUUUUCUUAGAAAGCCCUACAUAUUAUUUAUCAACCGCUAAUGUGAACUAUGGACACAAACGCAACAUACCGACAUGCAUACGCAAGAGCAUGAUAUUGCAACAGUUAAAAGAAAAGCCUUUAUGAAAAAAGUAAACCUUAUCUUCAGCGCGUAAAUAAGAUAAGAUAAAGAUGAUCUUUGAGUCAAUUAAUAAAUUUAUUUUUUCUUUUUGAAUUUCUGUCACAGAAUUUUUUUGUUCUUUAUUAUUUUGAUAAAACAAAUAAU